rnacentral:rRNA from 1 species
GAGCAAAUCUCAAAAAGCCGUCCCAGUUCGGAUCGCAGGCUGCAACCCGCCUGCGUGAAGUUGGAAUCGCUAGUAAUCGCGGAUCAGCAUGCCGCGGUGAAUACGUUCCCGGGCCUUGUACACACCGCCCGUCACACCAUGAGAGUCGGGAACACCCGAAGUCCGUAGCCUAACCGCAAGGGGGGCGCGGCCGAAGGUGGGUUCGAUAAUUGGGGUGAAGUCGUAACAAGGUAGC